AAAAAAUUUGAUAAUAAUGCAGUCCUGCUUCACUUAUUCGCAUAUGUAAAUGACGAUGACGACACGAUCCUGUACUGUCGCGAAAUUAGAUUCAUCAUUUAUUUUUUGAGAUUCCAACUUUCAUAGCAGAUUUAAUUCUACAAGUAGUAGUCUUCUACGUUAGAUUCAGUGAGUAAUGAUAUGAGAAGACUAAAGAUAGAACGUAGAAUCAUAUGAUUUUGACUUAUAAUUAUUAAGAUAUAAUUAAUCGUGUUUUCUUGCUUUUAAGGAAUAAAUAAGCUAAAAUCCGUUUUAAUAGAAUCUUCGACUAAAAGGUGAAUUAAUUGAUUAAUGAUUAAGUGAAUUAAUAGGGUGAAUGGAAUAUCCAUAUCUUAUAGGUACUUGAAUUCGUUUUCUGGAAUCUUUUUUUUUAUUUUCUCCGGAUUUUUAGAAAUUCAUAAUUUUUUUUCUUUUUCAAUCAUGUGAGUUAUGAAAUUGAAUAAAAUAACGUAAUAAAUAAAUACGAAAGAGAAAUGAUAUCUAUAUCCAUUUAUUUAUAUACUUAUCCUUUUUUUAUUUAUUUUUAUCAAUCAAUUAACCGAAUGCGUGAUAAAAUGAAAUCAAAAUAAUAUCCGAGGGUAUUUUUCUAUCUGUUUGAUAAAUACGAAUUAAAGGGAUAUAAAGGGUAUUAUAAUAAUAUUGCAAGAAAUAAAUUGAAGAUAUAAGUUAAGAUUUAGAAGAUAGUAAACGAAAUUAAGGCAGAAAAUACUUAUGGGUAUCGAGAGGAACAAAAGAGGGCGCAAUAUUGUGGCGUUUAUGAAGUCGACGAGAAACAAGUAUCAAUAGUGAUGAAAUAGUCGAUAGCAACAAGAGGACGAGGGAAGAUGUAAACGGAUACGAAGGACAAAAACAGCGAUAGUUAGAACGUGAGAUGUUGCGCUUAAUACUAAAAGACAAUAUUAAAUAUUUAUAGUAUUCAGCUUUUAGGUCAAAUAUUCGUAUGAGAAUAAUGCUUAGUGAAAUAAACAGUUACCGCACGUAUCGAUCUAAUAUUCGUUUAUUCUUCUACGGAGCAAAACCUGUUUUUUUUUUGUAAUAUGAAAAAAGAAAUAGAUAAUUAUGGUCGUGUUAUUUCAUAGAGGUGAAUUAGCGGAAAUAGUUCUAAAAUAUUGUAAUAAUAUGUAAAAUAGGCCUGGAAAUAUGGUGGAUACGAGGUUAACUAUUUGGAAAACUUUAAAAUAGAAAAUAACUUAUUCUUAUUGAAAGAAUUUGCUUAUUGUGAUAUGACAGAUAAUCAGAUAGCGAAUUAUUUUUUUCUAUCACCAUUCAACGUAGACUAGUUAUUACGAAAGAUAUUUAUUACGAAUAGGAGUAAGAUGGUUAACAGAUAACCAUCAUGGCCUGGAAUGGAACGACGGAUUCGUUAAUUAUAACUUAAGAUAUAAGAUUUUUGAGCAGCAUUUGAUAUGCUGAAGUAGUGUUUUAAAUAUUUACAUGAAUGGGACUAAAAAAAUUCAAUGGCUGUACGAAUUUCUAUCAGCGAAGCAUAGCAGACUCUUAUUGGAAAAACGAAUAAAAAUAUUGAACGUGGAAGAUAAAAUUCAAUAUCUGAUUUCCACGGAAUUGAACAAUAAUAAAUACCCUAAGUGUUUCCUACACAGGAACAAGAAAUUCUGUGCUCUCAAAAUCGUAGAAAUAUUAAAAAAGAAAUUAAUAGAUUAUCAAAAGGAAAAUACAACAAAGGAAUAAAUACAAGAAUAAUCUCCAUUGAAAAAAAAGAAGUAAUUCUAUAAAAUUAUAUAUUUCUAAAAGGAAGGAAAAGAAAAAUAUAUGCGUGAUGUAAAACACAUAAAGUACAAAGAUAUUUAGGAUGCGUAUAUGUGAAAAUAAAUAAACCCCAAGAUUGUGAAAAAAAAUCGAAGGGAACAAAGGAGACAGAGACAAUAAUUAGUCAGAAUGUGAAAAUUAAAAAAAAUAUAUAUAUACAUUUUAAGUGUUGAAUUGUCUCAUAUUUUUUUUUUUAAUAAUAACUAAGAUAGAUCUCUGA